UACGUAGGUGGCAAGCGUUAUCCGGAAUUACUGGGCGUAAAGCGCACGCAGGCGGUCUUUUAAGUUUGACGUGAAAGCUCCCGGCUUAACUGGGAGAGGUCGUUGAAUACUGGAAGACUUGAGGCAAUGAGAGGGGUGUAGAAUUCCCGGUGUAGUGGUGGAAUGCGUAGAUAUCGGGGGGAAUACCAGUGGCGAAAGCGGCACCCUAGCGUUAGCCUGACGCUGAGACGCGAAAGCGUGGGGAGCAAACAGG
rnacentral:rRNA from 1 species